AAUUGGCCCAAACAGCCAAGCGCGAUCCCGGGGCCCAACAGACAAGGCUUGGGCUACGCCUAGCAACAACACACCCUGUGGGGGUGGCUUAAGGGUCCCGAGUGCAACCAGGACCCUUGAUUUAGGAGGAUGCCAUUUCUGCAUCAUAUACUGUGCAGGAGGAAACAGGCUACUGGUGAGGGUGAGUUGUUAAAUCCCACAAAAAUGGUUAAAAUAAUGACAGAGUGACUGUUGCUUCCAUUGUUCCCCAGGGUCACGCCACAGACCACUGGCAUAAAGAGUGGUCAGUGGACCACACUUUGAGAACCUCUGCUCCUGAGAAUACUCAGCCAGACUGAUCAGCUGGGGUAGGCCACAAAUCUAAAUGACAGGAACUUUAGUUAAGUGUUCAGCCUGGUUGUGUGUAUGGGGGGGUAAAUGUUUGUAGGGGGCUGAGCUGUUGCAUGUUUCCUCUGCUCCAAAUGCCCCUUGCCUUCUGGGUGUAUGCCCCCUCCUUCCCCAACUUUUGCAUUUUUCGAAGGGGACUUCUAAAAGUGAUAUUCUGCUGAGUGCUGUUAGAAAUCACUGCAUAAUCAGGAAACCUGUCUCAUCGCAAAGGUGCUUCUUACUGCAUUUAGCUAUUUUCCAAUUAGAAGCCCCAUUUGGCUUGUCAGCCUCUUUCCUUACUAACCAUUGGCAGCAGCUAACCUAUCAUUUUGCUUUUCAUGUGAUGAGAUUCGGUCCACAAUAUAUAAAUGCAGCACAGUAAGCCUGCAACUUACAUGGGGGUUAUGUUCUGGGGAUCACGCCUAACCGAAAUUGCAUUUGACUAUAUCGGGUUCAAUGGCGGGUGGGAUUGCCAAAGCCCUUUCCACUCAGAUGCCCACCCCCUGUACCUUACUGUACCUUUGUACGUCUCAUGAGAUGAGUUUUAGUCAUGAAAGUGACCUACAUAUCUCUCAAAGGAGAAAUAGUACUGUACAAAAUGGCCAAAUGCUAUAUAAAAAGUUCACUACCUUGUCCAGAGUCCAGACUCCCCAUUAUCAAGCCCUCAAAAUGAAAUUAAUAGUAAUCACUCUGGAGAAAAUAUACCUUCCAUAAAACCAACAGAAUGAAUUAACAAUAAAUUAUAGGAAGGUUAAAUGGGCCACGUUAAUUAUCUCCAUAAGCAAAUUAAUUAGUUGCCCUUGGGGAAUCAUCCUUAGCCAAACUGGUAGAUCACAGCUUAGUCAGUGAUCUUGGCAAGGAGGGAAUAGUUCACCAAUCAAGUCCCAAAACAAAUCAAUAAUUUAUCACUAAUUUAUGAAAGGCAAUUAUUAACAGCUACAAGGUAAUUGCCCUGUAUCAUCAAAAGCAUAUAUUGGAAUUAGAGGUCAUUUUCUGUGGGCUUGUGCCCAGGUGUAAUCGCACAUCCAUACCUCAUAGCAUUGCAAAUUAAUUGCAAUAGUCUCAAUUCCCCAUAAUUCAGAUUCUGAAGUGAUAUUACUCUUAAUUAAUUAAUUACCCUGUUGAAAAAUGGGUCCAUUAAAAUAUUCUUAAACUAACAAUUAUUCCCCAGGUAGUAAUUUUUCUUUCUUUCUAGGAUCUUUUUCUAGUUGAGACACUAUCCACUGAAAAUCCCAUUAUGUUUAAAAUCCAUUGGUUUGAAUAAAACAACCAUAACCUUAAGUUGUGGCUCUAUUAUUAUUAUUAUUAUUAUUAUUAUUAUUAUUAUUCUAAAUUGUGCUUGCGAGCUGGGGACUUCCUAAUGAUAGAAAGAUACAUCUGGGCAACAGAUUGCAUUUAGUAGGAUACUAAGAGCUGCAUAUUGGUCUGAAAGACUUGAAUGUGAAUUUCUAGAACCAUAAAAACCUAGCAAGACAUUGGGAGAGAACUUUCAAAGUGGUUUGUGGCAUGCUAUUUAUGUGUGCUGUAAAACAAGCGAGCAGGGAGACAAAAAUCUUGAAAGUAUUUGGUUAGCCAAGUAUUUGGUGGGCUAGAUGGACUAGAUCAGAGCUUCCCAAACUUUUCAAGUUGGUGACACACUUUUUGGGCAUGCAUCAUUUUGUGAUACAGUAAUUCAUUUUUGUAUUAUUUCACAACACAGUAAUUCAGUUUUAUUAGCAAACCAGAGGUUAAACUAACACUUUCCAGCUCCUAGAAGAGCGUAGGGAGCGUUCAUGCGAUACACCUACGCACUCCAGUCGACACACUAACGUAUCAUGACACACAGUUUGGUAAGCUCUGGACUAGAUGAACCCUUGGUUUGAUCCAUCAAAACUCUUUUUAUGUUCUGUUUAUACUCAAAUAGUAGUGAGCUUGAAACUUCACAUUAAUUUGAUUGUAAACUAAAUGCAUGGAUCUUUAUGUAGUGCGGGUGAUUUGCACAUGGCUCCACAUCACACCCUUUACAUUCUCUAUGAACUUAAUCGUGUCCUCACCAUUCUCUAAGAGGAGCACAAUUCUCAUUGGGUUCAGAUUAUUCUGUGGGUCUCAUUUACUGGCCGGAAAUCACACCGUGAUCCACAAGUUGUAAACAUAUACGCUGUGCAUUAGUUGCCAAGCACUCUCAGUCUGAAUGGAAUGCAUAGCCCUCUUCGAGGUGUUGUGUUUACAUGAAAAAGUAGCAGGUGAGUGAAGACAAUCCCACUAAGCUACACACACACACACACACACACACACAGUUGCCCCCACCCUUCAUGAGUUGGAUGGUGUGCUUCUGAAGCACAGAGCCUCCUGUGAUCAUAGUGUGUUCCUGCUUCAAAUAUUUGCCCUCCAUGACUUGAACAGGGCACAGCAAUAGAGUAGGUUGGUUGGGAGAGCUUAGUGUGAUAAUAGCUGCUCUUUCCACUUGCAUGUUGCUUUUACACUGUGGUAAAGUGUUUUUAAACUUUGGGCAUCCAGAUGAUUUUGGAGUACAACUUUUGUCAUCCCUAGCUAGCUUAGCCAAUGGUCAAGGAUGAUGGGAAUUGUACUCCAACAACAUCUGGGGACUUAUCAACAUUGAGUGGCUGUACUCUCCAGGGUUUUAGACAGUGGUUAUUUUCAACCCCACAUACUGAUGCUGGCAGUUAAACUGUGACCUUCUAUAUCCAGAGUAGAUGCUUCACCUCUGAGCUGUGGUCCUUCCUCUAAAAUGGAAUUGGGGAAUUAUAGAAAUAUGUAGCAUAAGGAACAGCUACUGCAGCCUGUAGUGCAAAUAGCAGCACUCCUGAGCAUGGAGACUUAUGGCUCUUCUAUGAGAAGCAUGUGAAGUAUUGAUUUCAGUGGUGAUGCAUCAGAGAUCUUUUUUUCUUCUAUGCUUUUUAACAGCGUCAGAUUUGCAAUCUCAACCUGACAUUCUAUUUUUAGUUUUUACUCUCUUCAGCCUUGGGUAUACUUUACUGUAGGGGGGGAAAGUUGUAAGGCAGCAUUGUGCACAAUGGCUUCAGAAGUGAAUGCAGUGUAAGUGAAUUGCUCCUUUGAUCUGGUUCCCCCCUCCCCAAGCUGGAUGGAGCAGGUGUACAGAAAUUAAUGAAGCAACCACCAAAUUGCAGGGGUCAUUGGUGUGUUGAAAGCUAUAAAUUAGCCAACUCUUUGGGGAAAUUAUGUUCUACCUCUGAGAUGCUGUCAUUUAGAAAUCCAAGUUAAACCCUGGAGAAGCAGCAGUCAGAAAGCCUGGAAAAGGGGAGAAAAUAUCUAUUGACAUUCAUUUUGUGUGAUUUUUUUUUAAAUCCCUCUCCAAACUGAAGGUAUCAGAUUUGGAAGGCUGGAGUUUAUUCUAAAGUCUAUAUAUCUGCAGGUCGAUUAAUGUUAGUUAAGAAACUGGAUAUACUCUGAUUUUGUAUAUGUGAAACCUCUUCUGCACAUAACAGUCAAAAGCCAGUGAAGGGAAGUUAUAUUCUGCUGACUGUGUUUAUAAAGUACAGUGAAAGUCAUUUUGAUAGUUGUUGGCAUUUUGCUCUGUUUUAGGUUAUAGAAAACAGAUAUAGCAGUAUUGUAUGAAAUACUGUCAUCACUAUUGUUACUAUAAUUCAUUACUCCCCCUUCAUCCAAAGGCCCAAAAGCAGGUUACAACAAUUAAAACACAUUAGUAUUAAAACACAAUAUUAUUAUGAUAUUUUAAAUAAUGCUUUUUAAAAUGAUAACAUUGGAAAGUAGCAGAAGUUUUCAAAUCCCAGUGAAGGGAAUAGAAGUGAGAACUUCAUGCCAUUAUUUGAACACAGAAAUGGUGAACUUGCUCCUAUACAUGCCAGUAAGUGUUUAAAAUAUAUUACAUCAGAAUAGGAUAGCAUAAAUUGUCACAGACAUUGGGUCUGAAGAUUCCAUCCAGGUUUCACAACCACCAAACAACAAAACAUUCUGAAAAAUAAUACCUAAUUAGUUCUCCCAAAAGUGACUUUUUACCUGUCUCUUUUACCUGAUUUUAGUUGUCUUGGUUUGCUUAAGGGCUGUUGCUGUUGUACAUCUUCCUUCUCUUAAUGACUUCCUUGAUGAGUUAAUGACCAGCCAUCACCAGGCUUUGUUCCUCCACUCUCAGCUCCCUCUGCCAAGCUGGCCUAGCGUGUUAGCAUAAACUGAAUCCAGGGGUUUUUGUGUUUGGCACAAGGUUAGUCACACCUUAAUUGAUUCUAAUAUUUGCUGAAAACAAAAAUUAUUGGUGACUUGUUAUGUACUGAAGUUCUCACCCUGGGCCAGCAGGGGAAUACUGUAGAUAGUUUUCACUCAGGUCCACAUAUGCAAAUAAGGAAUUGAAAGUGACGUUCAGUGAUUGGAUAGUUACAGAAAGUUGUUACUGUUGCCAUGUAGUUGAGCUCUAUAUAAGCAGGUUGGCUGAACCCUUCAGCCCUGUUCUGUUCUGGCCUGUGAAUAAACAAGAGCUGUCUGAAGAAUUGCUGUGUUGUCUGAUAUGCUUACCCACAACUUAACAACUUGCACCCACAAACUCUGGCAGCCAAAACUUUUAACAACACACACCACUAAAAUCCGCAUUUACACCUGGAAUCUGUGGGUGGCAUGAAGCAUUAGGCUCUGUAAAAUGUGGAACAUCCUUUCCGACUGUUGCAUUGCCAUGCUUUGUGUCUCUGGGUCAUAUAAGGAUGCAUGUGUAUGUGGACAUUCACUUCAGGGUGCAUCAAAUAAAGGAAAAUAAGCUGAUUUGUGGCUUUAAAGAUUUCACACCAGAGUAAUCACACACACAAACUUUAAAGCAAAUUGUGGGUUCUUGAUUCUGUUGUCAUGUUGCCUUGGCUAUAAAUCUAACGAUUGCUAAAGGUGCUGUGGGAUCAGUGGCUAGCAGUGCAGAAAAUGAAAAUGCAGAGCAGGAACAAUAUAAGGAUCAUGCACUGCUUAUCUCUGAAAGAGGUAAGUCAGCACAGCAAGAAUGCCAAAAUAUGCAGCAGCUGCUGCUGCACACAUGUUGCGAAUAGACUGUGUGAUGUGUAUGAUAUAUCUAAUAUAUUAUAAAUAUUAAAGAUUGGUCACAUUAAAUAGGACCUAAAUGUCUUCUAAAUUAAUAACCUACAUCUCUUAUUUUCCCAUUUUCUCUUAAGCUGUGACUAAUUUAUACAGAUAGUUUUCUAGAAUCUGUAAUUAAACCUCCUGAUGCUGAUUUUAAACUUUGUCAAAAUGCAGCCUCUUUUGAAUUUUGUCAAAAUGCAGCCUCUUCCGUCUUAAGUCCUCUUCUCACCCCAAUAUAACAAACACAUUGCAAUCUUUAGACCCUGAGUCCCCCCCCCCCAGCUAAAUAACUUUUCUGUAGCUAAAAACACACCCACACCCAAACCCUUAACCUGUGUGAAUCACAAGUCCCAAAGCAGUUGUGGUUAGUCGUAGUAGGAUUUCAUAAGAAAUCUCUGGUUGUCCUCUAAAGCAGAGGCUGCAUUACUACAUGGUAGAUUUCCCAUGCAGGCAAUACAGAGCAAAGUUAGAGGUGACACAAGGAAAUAGAAAGAUGGAGAAAGCAUGCAUGCUUGCGCAACUUCACAAACAGGGAUGAGGUACAUCAGAACUGGAGGUAUAUCAAUAAAUCCUGUGCAGAGAGAUGGAAAUUUAAAAGCAUUCUGACUUGAGAAAUGUAACCAGAAAGGUUUUGGUUUUUUUAAUGUUCUACAUUAGAUCACUCUCUUCUGUCAUUUUGUUGAAAUGUAGGUUUGUAUUCUAAAAGGCCGGGGCUAUGAAAUUGGCGGAAAACCAAUAAGAACUGGCAGAAUCCAAGCAGAGUCCAAACACGGAGGCUGACUGAUCCACCAUAAGAAAAAAAAAUAUUUAGGAUAUCCUUUUUCUCUCUCACUAUGUUGAAAAAAAUAUUGUCACAUGUUGCUAACAUCUCAUCUAUCUCAAUCUCUUCUCCUUUCUCUAUAUACCAGCCAAUUAAAUGUUCGAACAUUUAUAAGAAACAAAAUGCACUUCUCUCUCCUCCCACUGAUCCUAGCCUUCCCUCUCAACCAAGAAAGGUAUCAUUAAAAAAAAAAAAACAGCCACUAAACAAUUGGCAUAUAAAACAGGGGGGUGGGGGAGGAACUGCUCUUGCUAGGGUUAUUGUGUUCAUCUGCUGUUUAACUCAUAAUGAGCUUCAAGAUGUUUCAAUAGAAUGGGGACCCUGCUGGUAAAGAUUUCAAAGAAUGUAAAAUAAGAUCACAUGAACAGAAACUGCUGAAGCAGUCUAUUGUUGAGAGGUCUAGUGUUAACAAUAGGCAGCUUUUCAUAGUGGAUUCAUUACAAGUGAUGCGAAAGACUGUGUUGAGUGAACACUGCUAUUUCAAUAGAAAUUGAAGGCUACAAUUCUAUACAUGGUUACCUGGGAGUAAGUUCCAUUGAACUCAGUGGAAAUUACUUCCAAGUAGACCAGUAUGAGAUUGUGCUAUAAGGUGCUUGGUCGCUCACUGGAAGGACAGAUCCUGAAGCUGAGACUCCAAUACUUUGGCCACCUCAUGAGAAGAGAAGACUCCCUGGAAAAGACCUUGAUGUUGGGAAAGAUGGAGGGCACAAGGAGAAGGGGACGACAGAGGACGAGAUGGUUGGACAGUGUUCUCGAAGCUACCAGCAUGAGUUUGACCAAGCUGCGGGAGGCAGUGGAAGACAGGAGUGCCUGGCGUGCUCUGGUCCAUGGGGUCACGAAGAGUCGGACACGACUAAACAACAACAACAAGAUGCUUGGUCAUUCUCUCCAGCUGCUCGAUAUUCAGCUCUACCUCUUAUUCCAAUCUAUUAAUCUCAUGGAGGCCUAAUAAUUAUUGGACCAGAGUCUGGAGCCAGUUUUGGAAUAGACUAAUAAAUUGAUAUUAUUUCCAUACAAGAUGGAGAUACUGUGGAUAGGGAAACUGAUUAUUCUAGAUGAAGAUUUACAGAUUAUCCUACAAUGCUUUUGUACUAAAGUACAAAAUGUAAAAGAAGAAGAAGUCUAUAUUAGGGGGAAAUGUGCAUAAAAUGCUUUAUUAGCAGUAAUAGCAUACAAAAGUGCCUUAUAUUACAUUCCAAUGCACACAUAGCCUGGAAAGUGUGGAUCAUAAUGGCGGUGCAUACUUGAAUUUUUUAAGCAUCCCUAUUAUUGCCCAGGUUCUAGAAGUGUUUUAAGAUGCUUGGCUCAGCUUCACAUAUGAGAGUUUGGUUACUAGAAAGAUUCACAUAUGGAUCAUUUUCAGGCCCUUCUCUACAUACAAUUUUGGUCAUGUUAAUCAGAAGUGGAAGCAACUAUGGAAGAGAAACAGGUGUGCUUAACUUCUGAAAGUUCAAAGGAGACAUUUCCUUCUUUCUAUCCUGAUGAUUUGAGAUGAUGAUUUGUACCCAGGACAAAGUGAAUCCACAUAUGUAAUACUACUUUGUGUGGAUUUAGUAAGAGCUGCCUUAAACACUCACCUAAAAACUUGUUUGUAACUAUGAAAAUUCCCAGAGAAUAGAAGCAAUGCAAUAUAAUCCUCCUUGCUUCAAUGCAGAAAACCUCUCUCUCUUGACACAGACAAUAAACUAUGCAGCCACUGUUAGCAUUUGCACAAUUCAAGUACAUUCCUUCAGUUUGAUUUUCUGCACCUUUUGUUUGUAUUCUGUAGACAAAAGCUGACAUUCAGCUUAUGGAAAAGUAGUUUUCUGUCAUUCAAAAUUAGCUCUCCUUUUGUUCCCAAACGUAUUCGUAAGUUUACUGUACAGUGGUAUCUUGGGUUAAGAACUUAAUUCGUUCUGGAGGUCCGUUCUUAACCUGAAACUGUUCUUAACCUGAGGUACCACUUUAGCCAAUGGGGCCUCCUGCUGCCUCCGUGCCUCUGCCAUGGUUCUGCCUCUGUUCUCAUCCUGAAGCAAAGUUCUUAACCUGAGGUACUAUUUCUGGGUUAGCGGAGUCUGUAACCUGAAGCGUCUGUAACCUGAAGCGUCUGUAACCCGAGGUACCACUGUACUCUGUUUUUAUGCUUGCAGAUAUUGAACUGAUGGAAUUUGCUAGAGGUUAACACUUCAAUACAACCAAUAUGUUAAUGGGUCCCCACCCCAUUCCCCAAGGGCUCUUUAUUUAUGUACUAUUUCCCCAAUCAGCAAGGAAUAUAAGCACAAGGAAGCAGAUUUCUGCAUACUCAGACAAUACCAGGAUUAAAUUGGCUAGUUUUGUCAACCCCUUCUUGGCUAUCCUGACAAGUAAACUAUGAACCAUCUAGACAUAGAAGCCUUCUGAUGCUGGGGGAGGGGGGCGGAUACUUUAUUAGAGACUGCAUCGGGAUGCCUUAGAAUGUGAGUGCUCAACCCCCACCCCAAAGAUUCAGCUCCUCAUCAGAAGACUGGUGGUCUUCUUGUACAUGCUUUGUUUGCCUAAGAACAACGUCUCCUCAAUAUUUUAAUGGGUGUGUUUUUUUAGGACCCAUGGAAACAUAAAGGCAUGAGGUAAUCCCAAAAGCAGGAGUAAACGGAAUCACAGUAGGAGCCAAAAUUAAAGACUGGGCUUCUCUGGGAAGACUCCACCAACUGCUUCAACUUGAAAACCAAUCACAAAGUGAGAUUAAAAGAUACAUUAGACCACUAUACAUAAAGCAACUGAAGGUGGCUAGAAGUCAAAAUACUUCUAUCCCCACCUUGAGUGGCAUAAAAUUAAAAAGGCAAGCAGAAGCAAGGAACCAAGACUUACAUGCAGUCUGACUGCAACAGAACUUCUAAACAGUUAAUGAUGAUGAUGAUGUUGUUGUUGUUGUUGUUGUUGUUUAAGUAAGUAGACAACUGUGGGGCAAGAUGCCAAUGGACAAGUAACAAAACAAGAACUCAUGCAUGAAGGAUACUAAACAAGUAAUGAAUGCCCAAGCAGAUAAAUAGACAUACAAAAGAAGGCCACAUAAAACCUGUUCAAAAACACCUCCCACUUCAGAAAGAAACAGGCCCUGAAGUCCUGCCACUCUCCCAGGGGAAAAUGUCACCUAAGCUAAACGGUGGGCCACCACCAAAUGGCAGCUACCCAGUAAAGAAAGGUGGGGACUGGCCCACAUGGAGGAAGGGGGGCUACUGGGAAUCACUGCACUCUAAAUGCAGAGCUGAAAAACCAACCCCCUCAGACCAACCCCUGGAGAGGAAAGGGAGCCUCCACUUAGCCACAGGGAUGCUCCAUGGGAUGUUCCCUCCACUUGUAGAAGCUUUGGUUCUCCAGUCCACCAACACUGAUGAGGAGGAGAUGUUCCCUUUAGAUAAGUCGUCUCCCUUCACUGACCUUACACGGCAGGAGAGGGCAAGGCAAAAGCAGGUAGAAGAGUGGGUGGGGCAUUCAGGCUCUCAUGACUCUCGACCCCUCACCUUUGGAGAGACCAAUUUGUGUCUUUUCCCCAUUUGGUGGGGGUGGGUUAGGCAAAUUUGCCCCCACAGAGAACAGGAAUGUUGUUCUCUUAUAAAGAGGCUCUAAAUUUAUUAAAUUUAACAGAUUGUCACCAAACCCUCAGUGACAAUUCAUCUUACCAUAUCUGACCCACAGUCUAUAGCUAUGCUAUAGCUAAAUAUAAAAAGGACAGAAAAAUGUUGCGUGUCUUCCAUGCUUAUUUGUUCCUUCUACAUUCUUGUGAUAUAUCCAAUACAUGUCAAUAGACACAGUAAAGAAUGAAUUUUAUGGAUGACACAAAAUGUUUAUUCUAUGACCACAGGCUCCUUUGUUGUCAGAGCAACAGAAUUUAUAGCUGAAAAUCUAUAAUUUUUGUUUUCUAUGCAGUAUUGUAAAAUGUUGGCAUUCUACAAGAAAGAGAGGGGAGGCAUUUACACUUAUUCACAGAUACAUGCAAACAUUUAAUCAUAACUGUUAAGUUUUUUGAGAUUUACAUACAGUUUUCAAUAAAAUACAUUUGAUUACAUGUCCAUCUUGCCUUAGUUUGGCUACAUUCAUUGUUCUGGAUAAGUCAAAGCAAUCUGACUGAUCCAAAUUGAUGUGACUCAUUAACGUCCAGAUAUUUCAGAAUAAACAUCCAACACAAAUCUCUCUGGACUUUUAAAAGGUAAUUGUUUGCAUUUCUGCAAUUGAUGAAUUCCAACUUCUCCUUUUAAGAAGGGAGAUUGUUUUCAAAUUGUCUUGGCACAAAGCACUAAAAUAUAGAAAUCGGCUAUAGUCUGAAAUGCUCAGCACAUCUCUAAUUGCAAAAGGAAUAUUAUUUCGAUGUCUGAUACUGCAAUUUUGUUUCAACAGGGAUAAAAUAGUGUGGAAGCUGUGACACUGUGAGAUGCAAGAAAAUGAGUGUUCCUAGGCAAGCAAGAAAAUCCCAAAUAGUGAUAG